CAGUUUACAGAUCAGCAAGUGGCUACGAAAAUGUCUCGUCUAGUCAGAUGCUGGCCAAUCCCGAGCUCCAGUCUACGUAGGGCCCCGCCCACCACCGAGGACAGGCCAAUCUCGUUGAGUCUGGUAGACCAGAGUUACGGUUUUGGGAAAGGAGAGCUCAAAGAACAGUUGCCAUGUUCCUCACUUCGGUCUCUCAUCGUGACUAAUGAGUGUUCAUGUUGACCUUGAUCAUUCACUGAGGUAGUUGUGGACUGUGUUUACAUUUCAAAGGCAUGAUAAGAUUAAUAACUUCAAGGGACAGUGGAAGAAGGCAAAUCCCUCCAAGAAUGAUUGGCUUUCCUAAGGCCAAUAAUUUGGAAGCCUUUGGAGAUAACAGAAUUUUUGCAGCUGGAAAAAGGAAUAGGUUAAUUUUGAAUUGCCUCCAGAGCUGACUUUUGCUUUGCUAAAGAUUUGUAAGACAAAGACAGUUAUUCUCAAUUCCUCAGAAAGUUGGGUUGUAAGUUGGUCCAUCUAUCCAAGUAUGUUAUCUUCAAUUUUCUGCCUUCUCUCUGGGUACAAAGUUCUAAUUUUAAAUAUUUCUGGCAGUACUGAAUAACUCCCCUCGCAUGUAAGAGGGGUCCCCAAAGUGGAUGCAAAGGAUACUAUUUUCCCAAGAUCCAGAGUCAAUUCCAUAGAUAGCUGAAAAAAAGAACCAAUAACUGGCAUGUCCCAAGCAGGCAAAAAACCAAGCCCAUUUAUGUAAAAUAAGACAAUACCUAUCCGUGGGAGAAAAAAGAUCAAUAACCGAUGGGUCUGGAUUUGGACAGGAAGAGACAACUUGAAAUUUUAUUUUCCUCUUUCAACUGGACUACAGACAGACCAUCAGAGGAACUGGGUCUGGUAUGAAUUUUCACCCUUUGCUGCCUUCUGCCAGAUUUUCCAGGAUCCUCUCAAUAGACUCUGGAAUCUACCAGAGUUUCCCUUCAGCUGUUUAAAGGAGCAACAUAGCAGUUUACCAGAAAAUCCCUCAGUCUCGUAAACUCUGGGAGGGGUCCAUAUGGGAGCCCUCCUUUGAAGGUAGAUAUGAGGGUAUCUACAAGGUCAUUAACUUGGUAGGCUUUUGUUUAUGGUUGUGUAGUCUUUUUUGUUUUAAUGUUUUUAUUUAUUUUUGAGAGAGAAAGAGAGAGA